UUCUCCCCGAAAGCUAUUUAGGUAGCGCCUCGUGAAUUCAUCUCCGGGGGUAGAGCACUGUUUCGGCUAGGGGGCCAUCCCGGCUUACCAACCCGAUGCAAACUGCGAAUACCGGAGAAUGUUAUCACGGGAGACACACGGCGGGUGCUAACGUCCGUCGUGAAGAGGGAAACAACCCAGACCGCCAGCUAAGGUCCCAAAGUCAUGGUUAAGUGGGAAACGAUGUGGGAAGGCCCAGACAGCCAGGAUGUUGGCUUAGAAGCAGCCAUCAUUUAAAGAAAGCGUAAUAGCUCACUGGUCGAGUCGGCCUGCGCGGAAGAUGUAACGGGGCUAAACCAUGCACCGAAGCUGCGGCAGCGACGCUGAUGCGUUGUUGGGUAGGGGAGCGUUCUGUAAGCCUGCGAAGGUGGCCUGUGAGGGUUGCUGGAGGUAUCAGAAGUGCGAAUGCUGACAUAAGUAACGAUAAAGCGGGUGAAAAGCCCGCUCGCCGGAAGACCAAGGGUUCCUGUCCAACGUUAAUCGGGGCAGGGUGAGUCGACCCCUAAGGCGAGGCCGAAAGGCGUAGUCGAUGGGAAACGGGUUAAUAUUCCCGUACUUGGUGUUACUGCGAAGGGGGGACGGAGAAGGCUAUGUUGGCCGGGCGACGGUU
rnacentral:rRNA from 2 species